GCCGGAGUGGCGGAACCGGCAGACGCGGGGGACUUAAAAUCCUCUGGGCUUUGCCCGUGCGGGUUCGACUCCCGCCUCCGGCACCA
rnacentral:tRNA from 1 species